rnacentral:lncRNA from 1 species
GAACUCUUCCAUUAGAAGAUGUAUUUGAAACUUAACGAAUUGUUAAGGAUACGGUACAUCUACCUACCUUUCACUGUUUGCAGUAAUUUUAUUGCCUUGUGCCUCUCCCUUGUCACCCAAAGAUCUAGUGCAGGCAUGAUUAGGUGGCUGAUGACAGUCCAACAACUUUCAGUGAUGCAGAAAGGUGUGAUCUCUGGGACCACGGGUGAGGGAUCUUGAGCACGGCAACAUUCAUCAGUCUUCUAAAAUCAGUCUACGAUCAUUGGAUUCAGUGCAAGUGGUUGUACAUUCUCAUGGGGCAAGUGUGCAGGCUGACUCCAUCCCUCUACUGUCUGUUAUCUUUGGAUACAUUGUGUGCCAGCCAGUUCACUUUGGUUUUCCAGCUCUCUCGUAGGGCUUCAUUAAACUUGAGUCUGAAGUGUUUCAGUGCCUCUUCAUCCGUUUUACCCAGAGCCAGGGAAUCCUGAAGUGAAGGAUCUGAUGGAUUUCUUCCCUGAGCACCAGUACCUGCCAUUUCUGACAUCCUGCAUGGGAGCCA